GUGCCAGCAGCCGCGGUAAUUCCAGCUCCAAUAGCGUAUAUUAAAGUUGUUGCAGUUAAAAAGCUCGUAGUUGAAACUUGGGCCUGGCUGGCGGGUCCGCCUCACCGCGUGCACUCGUCCGGCCGGGCCUUCCUUCUGAAGAACCUCAUGCCCUUCACUGGGCGUGCUGGGGAAUCAGGACUUUUACUUUGAAAAAAUUAGAGUGUACAAAGCAGGCCUUUGCUCGAAUACAUUAGCAUGGAAUAAUAAAAUAGGGCGUGCGUUUCUAUUUUGUUGGUUUCUAGAGACGCCGCAAUGAUUAACAGGAACAGUCGGGGGCAUCAGUAUUCAGUUGUCAGAGGUGAAAUUCUUGGAUUUACUGAAGACUAACUACUGCGAAAGCAUUUGCCAAGGAUGUUUUCAUUAAUCAGUGAACGAAAGUUAGGGGAUCGAAGACGAUCAGAUACCGUCGUAGUCUUAACCGUAAACUAUGCCGACUAGGGAUCGGGCGAUGUUCUUUUUCUGACUCGCUCGGCACCUUACGAGAAAUCAAAGUUUUUGGGUUCUGGGGGGAUUAUGGUCGCAAGGCUGAAACUUAAAGAAAUUGACGGAAGGUCACCACCAGGCGUGGAGCCUGCGGCUUAAUUUGACUCAACACGGGGAAACUCACCAGGUCCAGAUGAAAUAAGGGAUUGACAGAUUGAGAGCUCUUUCUUGAUUUUUCAGGUGGUGGUGCAUGGCCGUUCUUAGUCGUGGGUGACUGUCUGCUUAAUGCGAUAACGAGUGAGACCUACUCUGCUAAAUAGCCAGGCUAACUUGUGGUCGCCGGCUUCUAGAAGAGACUAUCAACUCAGUGAUGAGUUGAGCAUACAGGCUUGUGAUGCCUUAGAUGUUCUGGCGGACGC
rnacentral:rRNA from 1 species